rnacentral:rRNA from 1 species
GAUGAACGCUGGCGGCGUGCCUAAUACAUGCAAGUCGAGCGAACGGACGAGAAGCUUGCUUCUCUGAUGUUAGCGGCGGACGGGUGAGUAACACGUGGAUAACCUACCUAUAAGACUGGGAUAACUUCGGGAAACCGGAGCUAAUACCGGAUAAUAUUUUGAACCGCAUGGUUCAAAAGUGAAAGACGGUCUUGCGGUCACUUAUAGAUGGAUCCGCGCUGCAUUAGCUAGUUGGUAAGGUAACGGCUUACCAAGGCAACGAUGCAUAGACGACCUGAGAGGGGGAUAGGCCACACUGGAACUGAGACACGGUCCAGACUCCUACGGGAGGCAGCAGUAUGGAAUCUUCCGCAAUGGGCGAAAGCCUGACGGAGCAACGCCGCGUGAGUGAUGAAGGUCUUCGGAUCGUAAAACUCUGUUAUUAGGGAAGAACAUAUGUGUAAGUAACUGUGCACAUCUUGACGGUAACUAAUCAGAAAGCCACGGCUAACUACGUG